CGUUCUGCCCCUGGGAUGGGCAGGGCAGGCACGGGGACCCCUGCAGAGCAGCCACCAGCCUGGGGCAGUGGCCCGACUUCCUCCAUCUCAGCUGCAGGUGGGGGGCUGGGGGUGGGGCAGGGGCGUCCCAGGGAGGGGUUUUUGUUCAAGCCUGUGUCACUGUGUGCUGUGUUCGGCGGAGGGACCCAUCUGACCGUCCUGGGUCAGCCCAAGGCCGCACCCUCGGUCACUCUGUUCCCGCCGUCCUCUGAGGAGCUCACCGCCAACAAGGCCACCCUGGUGUGUCUGAUCAGUGACUUCUACCCGGGCAGCGUGACGGUGGCCUGGAAGCAAGAUGGCACCACCGUCACGCAGGGCGUGGAGACCACCAAGCCCUCGAAGCAGAGCAACAACAAGUACGCGGCCAGCAGCUACCUGAGCCUGUCGCCCAGCACGUGGAAGUCGCACAGCAGCUACAGCUGUCAGGUCACGCACGAGGCGGGCACCGUGGAGAAGACGGUGUCCCCCUCCCAGUGUUAGGCCCCCGGGCCCCCACCCUCGGGGGCUUCCUCACCCAGACCCCCCUCCCCACUCUCCAUGGACCCCUGAGCCUCUGCCCAGGUCAGCUCAGACCAGGCGGGUCUCAUCCCGCCCUGUUCCUGCUCCUCCUUAAUAAAGACCUUGUCAUUUAUCAUCUGA